GGAAAUCUUAGCCACAUUCUCUCUUCUCCUCUCCUUCUCUCAGCCACGCCAUCCUCCUUCUCUCUCUCUCACCGUGGCUCUCUUUCUCUCUCUGUCUCCCUUGGCCGCUGCUCUCUCCUCCUUCAUCAGCUUUGCUUCCUCUUUCUUCCCUCUUAAACCCUAGCCGCCGCCUCCUUCCAUGACGAUUUCCCGGUGAUCCGUGAAGAGUCACGAGACCUACAAUAUAUCAAAUUGAAGCCCAGAGUGUCAUCUUUCUUCGGAGACCAAAUUCGCCCCGAUCGGAGAUCUGAAUAAGAAGAUAUCGUUAUUCUCGUGUCGGAUGUCAGAUCCGUCCAAAGGAGUGGAUAAAGCAGAUCUUCUUCUAUAAAGGCAUCGGUGAGGACUUUGUGGCUUCAUCCUCUCUUACAUAUGCAUGAUUGAAUUUUAAGUGGUCUUUUCUUAGAUCAGGCUUAGAUCUGCUUGUUAGGUUGUUAGAAUUGUUAGAAUUGUUUAGGACCUGGAUUCAUGUUGCCUGUUUGUUGAUGAUUGCUGGUUGCUGGUGGAAUGAGAUAAUUAACCUGAAUAUGGAUCUAAACUUAUUGGGACUUUAAAAUAUUGAUUGUGUGAUAUUAACCUGAUUAAUGCUCCUUAUGUCAUAACUUGGUAUUACCGAAAGUGCAUUUGAAUAAUGGAAUGACCUUUAAGAAAAGAAUAGUUGUAUGAAAUGGAUGAUUUGUGCAUAGUAGAUCUUUGUUAGGACCCCUGGCUCCUGGAGGUGGGAGUCAGUGUUGUUUGUUGGCAUGCGCUGUCGUCUACGCACGGCAAGGGCCACCGCUGGAGUGGAUUGGCGAUCCACUGGUUAAUAACAGCCGUCCGAGGGACCACUGGGUACAGCUUUCUGGGUGACCGCUAUGAAUAGCCGUCUAAGUGACCGUUAGUGUCAUAGCCUGUCUUGGUGAUUGAUGUGGAUCAGUCUGUGUGGCUGGCAGAGUAGACCUGACUAAUGGGUAUGGUAAUAGGCCAGCCAUUGGAUGAGAUUAUUUUGGUUUGCCUUUCCGGGGAGGCAUGGGGCCCAUGUUGCAGCCUACUGUUACUGGUGAUGACCAGGGACCGGCUGCUUGUGUAGUUGUUUGUAGGGUUACUCUUGAAUGUUAUGUGAAUGAUUGCUAGGAAUGAACUGUUUAUAUAUAAGUAAAUAUAUAUAUAUAUAUAUGUGUUGUGUGGGCUUGUUUUAGGAUUGGAUCUCUUAAAACCAAUUUAUGCUAGUUUGAUGAUAUUGUGGGCUUCCUUAAGGCUCAUCCUUACUGAGUAAUCCCCAUUACUCACCCCUCCUCUUCUCUUCUAUCUUUUCAGGUAUAGGUUAUAGACCAGCAUAAGUCUAUGUUGUUUAUUAUUACCUGGGUAUUUUUCUGGCGAUUUGUGUGUUCAUCAAUCAGACAUUCUAUCGGACGCAGUUCGAUGGAUGAUCUAACAUUCCCGGUUCUCCGCCUCUUAAAAACCUGGGAUAUGGAUGUUACAAGUAACGAAACCAAUAAACUAGAUUAUUACGUAGUUUGGAUAUGUUUUUAUUUCAAAAUUAUAAUUUUAUUGCUUUACCUUUGCGUAUGGAAAAUGGAGUAUUUUACAAAAUAUUUUACUAUUAGUGUUGACUAACUUUAAAAGAACUACUUAUAUACGUGAUUACAUUACGGACGAUAUAAGCCAAUUAGCCAAACAUAGAUUUGAAC
rnacentral:lncRNA from 1 species